rnacentral:rRNA from 2 species
AAAUUGAAGAGUUUGAUCAUGGCUCAGAUUGAACGCUGGCGGCAGGCCUAACACAUGCAAGUCGAACGGUAACAGGAAGCAGCUUGCUGCUUUGCUGACGAGUGGCGGACGGGUGAGUAAUGUCUGGGAAACUGCCUGAUGGAGGGGGAUAACUACUGGAAACGGUGGCUAAUACCGCAUAACGUCGCAAGACCAAAGAGGGGGACCUUCGGGCCUCUUGCCAUCAGAUGUGCCCAGAUGGGAUUAGCUAGUUGGUGAGGUAACGGCUCACCAAGGCGACGAUCCCUAGCUGGUCUGAGAGGAUGACCAGCCACACUGGAACUGAGACACGGUUCAGACUCCUACGGGAGGCAGCAGUGGGGAAUAUUGCACAAUGGGCGCAAGCCUGAUGCAGCCAUGCCGCGUGUAUGAAGAAGGCCUU